rnacentral:rRNA from 1 species
GAUGAACGCUGGCGGCGUGCCUAAUACAUGCAAGUCGAGCGAACAGAUGAGGAGCUUGCUCCUCUGACGUUAGCGGCGGACGGGUGAGUAACACGUGGAUAACCUACCUAUAAGACUGGGAUAACUUCGGGAAACCGGAGCUAAUACCGGAUAAUAUAUUGAACCGCAGGGUUCAAUAGUGAAAGACGGUUUUGCUGUCACUUAUAGCUGGAUCCGCGCCGCAUUAGCUAGUUGGUAAGGUAACGGCUUACCAAGGCGACGAUGCGUAGCCGACCUGAGAGGGUGAUCGGCCACACUGGAACUGAGACACGGACCAGACUCCUACGGGAGGCAGCAGUAGGGAAUCGUACGCAAUGGGCGAAAGCCUGACGGAGCAACGCCACGUGAGUGAUGAAGGUCUUCGGAUCGUAAAACUCUGUUAUUAGGGAAGAACAAAUGUGUAAGUAAAUAUGCACGUCUUGACGGUACCUAAUCAGAAAGCAACGGCUAACUACGUG